CACCCUCAUGACAUGUAGCAUUGAUUGUAUUGUAGGCCUAUUGUUACUCACAAUCUAUUUUUUUGUAAUUGAUACUGGUAGUAUCAAUGUGAAAUAUGCCACACGUUGGGAGCAUGCAAGGCCUAGUACAAUACACCAUCAUCACAAUCAAAUAUUUCAAUAAUACACUGUCAACGAGAGUGAAUGUUCAACCAUCAAUCACGUGCAUUGUAGUGUACAUCCCCCAUGACGGCUUGCGCCCCGCUGACACGACGAGCACAUGGCUGAGCCAAUCCAUCGCCUAUACACUACUUUACAAAAAUCGACACCUACUGAAACUUUCACUAAUUAUUCUCGGAAAUGUACUUUAUCGUUACAUCAAUAAAUGCACAUUCGAAUUUCAAAA